GACGAACGCUGGCGGCGUGCUUAACACAUGCAAGUCGAACGGAAAGGCCCUGCUUUUGUGGGGUGCUCGAGUGGCGAACGGGUGAGUAACACGUGAGUAACCUGCCCUUGACUUUGGGAUAACUUCAGGAAACUGGGGCUAAUACCGGAUAGGAGCUCCUGCUGCAUGGUGGGGGUUGGAAAGUUUCGGCGGUUGGGGAUGGACUCGCGGCUUAUCAGCUUGUUGGUGGGGUAGCGGCUUACCAAGGCUUUGACGGGUAGCCGGCCUGAGAGGGUGACCGGCCACAUUGGGACUGAGAUACGGCCCUGACUCCUACGGGAGGCAGCAGUGGGGAAUAUUGCACAAUGGGCGGAAGCCUGAUGCAGCAACGCCGCGUGCGGGAUGACGGCCUUCGGGUUGUAAACCGCUUUCGCCUGUGACGAAGCGUGAGUGACGGUAAUGGGUAAAGAAGCACCGGCUAACUACGUG
rnacentral:rRNA from 1 species